CUAUUCGCUACUUUUCUUAAAACCCGCACCGUUCACAGUGUGAAAAGUAGCGAAUUUAAUAUCAACCACCAUUAUUAGCCUUUAUGAGGCCAUUUUUCUCGUCAUACCAACUUUAUCAUGAUUUUCCAUUACCUCCUACUUUUUAUUUAAGUCAAUCCUAACAAACUCAUUCAAUAAUAACAUCAUAUAAUUCCACUACACUAUAUAUCCUUAUUCCUUGGUUGUUAUUACAUUAUAUAUGAAGCCAUAAUAUUCUUGAGUAUUUUCCAUUGUUCCAACUUCCAUGUAUAUUCCUCAGGAAGGGAAGCCAUGGGAAAGGCCUGCUGCUGCUCCGACGACGACGAUGGCGGCUCGUCGUCGCCGCUGCUAGGGUUGAUGGUGGCGCUGGCGCUGGCGAUCAUGCUGUUUUACUUGUGCCAACCUCCUCGUGUUAGAAGAUACAAAGUUUGCUGCACUCACUAUCCAUGCAUAUGUUAAUUUUUACUUAAUUAAUUAGCUCUUCUUUAUUUAUAAUGUAUGUUGAAUUCUGUGGGCUUUUGCUCUUCUCACAUGAGAUAUAUAUGCUUUCCAUGCCAUGUGCAUAUAUUAAGUUUUGUUUCAAUCUUUGUUUUUUUUUUUUNGUUGGUUAAGUUCUUGCCAUUUUCUUAGAGGUUAUUUUGCUGUUUAUUGAGGAAAAAGAGAGGAUUAAAUUGAUAAUUUCAUUUCAAGCAAAUUGAUUUGGAUUCACUGUUUGAAAUGGAGGAGGUUCUAAAUAAUGAAAACUUCCACAAAAACAAAAAAUCAACCUUUAUUCAUGAUUGAUUUGGUGUGCCUCUAUCUUUUUUCUUUUUUGUAAAGUUGAUAUGCCACUACUAUAUCUAUUGGAUUAUAUCUCAAUAGAUGAAGAAAUCAGGAGCCAUUAUUCUUUUGCCUGAUCUUUUUUUCCUAUUUGUCUUUUUUGUUUUUUGCCUUUGUCCUAAGUCACAUUUAGCUACUUUUUAUUACCACUAGAUACAAUAAUCAUUAAGAAAAAUAAUAUCAACAGUGAUGAUUAUUACUUUACUCGCAGGUUAGUUAUUUUGAUACAAGUAAGAAAUCUCAUCCAUUAGUUCGAUAUUAAGAGGAGAAAUAUUACCUCUCAGAAAAAAAAAAAAAAAAAAAAAAAGACAGAAAUAUUAGAUAUUGCAUAUUUUGAUACUUUAUUGUCAUAAAAAUAUCCAUAAUCACAUUUUUCCAGUGUUGAAAAUUAGAAAAUGUGUUUCAUCACAUUUUUGUGAUAAUAAUUAAACUCUUACUAUUACAUACAAAAAAUUGAAUUGUUUUUGGGAUUGCAAAUAAACAUAAGGACAAUAUCUGAUUUUCCAAUAAGAAAAUAGCUCAUUUCAAAAUGUUAUCCUCUCGUGAUCCCUUCCUAGUAUUAUUUAAUUUGAAAACUAUUUUGUUUUUUCCUUAGUGCCCCCACAAUAAUAAACACUAAACAAACACAAUACUAUUAGCUUACCGUAGAUAUCUACCAUAUCUUUAUCAUGUAUAGCAAACAAAAUUUUGAAUAUUUUUAACAAAACCAAAAAUGAAGAUUAAAAUGCUUCUCAUUGCAUCAGAUAAUUAUUGGCUUGCAUUUGGUUGAGAAUAGAAAUUUGAUAAAUCAAGGGUCAAAAUGGUCAUGAUCGAGCAGAAACAAAAGGAAAAGAUUGAAAAAAUAAAAAGAUAUAGACAUUGAAAGAAGAAGGGGACAAGUAUUCAUGGAGUGUAGUAGGUAGGAUCUCCUUUAUGUAUACCAUGCUGCUGCCAUAUUCAAAUCCAGUGAUCAACACAACUCAGGGCAGCAGAUUCUGCUAACUGGAGCAGAGCUUUUCAAGAGCCAAGUUCUCGUCGCCACCGACACUCUCGAGAGCACUUCUCACCAAAGCUUCAGCAAAUCCCAUCUCCACAAGCUUCUGUACCUGCGCAGGUUGCAGCGAAUUUGUAACCAUGUUCAACUUAACUGGGGGCUUGUCUCCAAGUACGAGAAGCGAAGACAACAAGGGAGAUACGACAAGUAAAUUUAUUUAGAAUAUUGCGUACCUUUUCCUCUACACCAAGAGACGAUGUUUUGGCAAAUGCCUCUGUCCAGUAACGAGCCGUCCCAACAAAAGUCUGGUAGUCUUUUAGAUACUGAAGAGUGGAGAAGAAUAACGACCAAUAAACAAGUAGGGAUGGUGAAAAGAAUUGAUAUCAACCAGGUAAGAAAUAUAAGCUUUCGAGCAACACAAAGAUUGACCAUCAUAAAAUGAAGGGUACAUGGGAAGAGAAAGCACAAGAUAAAAUUUGUGACAUAAGUUCACCAGGAAAACAAGAUGAAAGCACUCAUUGACAGCACCUGUUGUGCUACAACAGCAUCCUGGGGAUCGUCAGGUUCGGGAGCAGAUAAUAAUGCUUGAACAGAAAGCAGUGCUGUUUUCAAAGUCAGUGCUGGGCUCCAUUGGUCUUUCAGGAUAUCAAGGCAUAUGGCACCACUUUGACUGCUAAUAUUUGGGUGCCUUUGAUGUAAACGAAACCAUUUAAGAAGUGAAAACGUAAAAAUAACUUCACAAAGCAUGAUAUCAAAACCUCAUAUACUACUGAUAAGCAAUAGAAAAUGAAAUACAGCUGUAAAGAGUAUUUGCAUGAAAAUUCAUAUAUCAAGUCCAACAUUAAAAGUAAGGCUUGAGUUAGUAUCGAGGCAAGCUGUGAAGUUUGGAUACGAAAUAGAAUUUGGUUAACAAUGAAAUGUGAUGUACUCCGUCGGGCCACCUGAGUGAUGAUAACGUGUCCAAUGUAAAAUAAGUUCAAUCCCCAUUUAGAUAGCCUAGAAAUUAAGAGUUGAGAAAUAUCUUAUCUGAAAGAUCAUUCAUCUAGAUAAAAGACUAUUCUAUCAGGAUAUAAGAUUUAAUUAGAUAAUACACUUUCUACGCCGAAACUCUUGGUGUUUCCAUUAUGCAGGAAUCACCGACUCCCCCUCACUAUGAAUGUAGAGCCAGACAGAGUAAGUACUUGAGUCUUUUUCAUAGACUCCAUUCAUUUAAUACUAUUUCAUCAUCGACAUAUAAUUUGCAUAUCUUACAAUCCUACUGUCAGCUUAACAGGUACUUUUAUGAUUUAGCUCUAUGCCAAGGCACUUGAGGGCUUCUAACUCAUGUUUGCACAUAGAGAAUUAGGUGCAAACUGAAUCAUAGCCAUGAUGAUGAUUGAAUUUAAGGAAACCGAACUGGCCAAUAAUCCACAAAGAAUUCCACAAAUAAGGUGGGAGUCCUACUCACACUAUAUCUUGAAAUCUAUCCAUAUGUUCUCGGUAAGAAUUUAGCACUUAAGGCAUGCUGUCAAUCAUUUGUUUACUUAUGCUUACAAAAGAAAAGAUUGAAGAAAUUAUGCUGCCAUCAAACAGUUGAGCUGAGUAGAUCCGGCAAACAUCAUAAAAUCUCAACCUGUAUCAAUCCACUAAAAUGUGAAAUCUCCUUCCUCAACAAGCUCUAUAUAAGAAAACGUAGCAAUUGAAUGCAUCAUAUCGUUGCACUAUCAUAGAAACAUGGUAUAUGUGUGAAGUCUGGUGGAAGAUUUCCAAUGUUCACUUAAAAUCAAAGAGUUUCCUAACAAGCAUGACAGCCAUCCAGACCACAUACUCUUACACGCAAACAUUAGGGGAAGAAAAAGCACAGAAUGACAAGUUUCACCAUACCAUACUUUAGUGGCAAACCGCAUUUUGGGAGGUUCAAACGGGUAACCAUCUGCAACGAGGUGGGGGGAAAGAAUCAAAAUGCAAAUACUUACUAAACAACAAGAAUCUGUUACUUUUCAUGAUAAAGUAAGAAUAAGUUCCCUAUUACAAAGUUUCCAACCAUCAUAAACAAAUUGAAGGAAUCAAACUCAAGAAGGGCAAGGAGAUGCAAGAUUCUUCAUACAGUUUUUUAUGU
rnacentral:lncRNA from 1 species